UCUAUCCUACCCUAACCGCUCUGCCUUCCUUCUCCACCGAGCGUAGAUUCUCCGCCGCCGCCGCCGGGCAUACUCCUCUCCCCACGCGCGUGACUCCUCCCUUCCCCACCAGCCCGCGCUCGCUUCCUCCCACAUCGCGCGCACCAGGCGUGGGCCCGGCGCCGACUGCUCUCGCUUCCUUCCCCAAUAGCGCGCGUGCGUCAGGCGCGGGUCCUCCCCCGGUCGCUCCUCCAACCCCCUCCUUCCCGGUGCUUCUCCUCCACCCCCGCGCUUCUCCUCCACCUUGCCUCCGGUGCUUCUCCUCCGCCUCCCCCCCCGGCGCUGCCCAAUUUGCCCCACCCCCUGCGCACAGACGUUGCCGCUCCGCCUCCCCCUCCCCGGCGAUUCUUUAUGCAUGCCGUCUUGAUGGCUCACAUUAACGCAGUUACUCCCAGUGUCCGUUACGCGAAAUCAUCAUCAUCAUUCACUUAUUAUAAUGUGCCUUCGAUCCACAAAAGCUCAUGUCAUUCGUCGUUCUCUACCAUCCUUGUUUCAUCCGAGCUUUCACUUCUACAAGGUUGUGUGUUCUCCUACGGGAUCCAUAGAACGGUAUUUCGUGAUGCGUCACCCACAGCCUUCCUCUAGAGUGUAUUUUGCAGCUCCUGUCGAUUUUCGAUCUGCAGAGAUAAUCCCAAUAUGUAGCACUUCCAGCCUUUUUUUACUGUUAAGUUUAUAUUCAGUUCAAGCAAUUCCCAUUGUGUGAAUUCAGUUCAAGCAAUUCCCAUUGUGUGAAUAUACUUCAGUUGUUAUAUUUGGUCUUCAUUAUUGAAUCCCGGGCUUCUCAGAACAUGAACAUAGACUCAAUUGAUCAUCCAGUAACUCUUAAUAAAGCCAUUGGAAAAACAAGACUUUUUACUGUAGGAAUGAAUACUGAUUCAUCUUCUAA